CGUGAAGCUCACAAGGCAUCCUGGUGUUUUAUGGGGUGACUCAUUUCUCCAGCUCUUUUCAGAAAAUCACUGUGUUGGAGUGAUGGAUCACUAAAAUUUGGAACUCGAAUGCUGUCUCUGGCCCAGGGGAAACAGGACCACAUUGGAUGGAAGAGAUUUCUGGUCACUCAGAGAACCAAGGGAGUCUCUGUCUUUCCAAACCCUUCCUUGACCAGAGUUCAUUUACUGCUGGUGAGGUCCAGUCCAGAACCUUCUAUCAGAGACACUGGAAUGGUUUUCCCAGAGAAGCUGUGGCUGCCCCUGGAUCCUUGGAAUUGUCCAAGGCCAGGCUGGACAGGGCUUGGAGCACCCUGGGAUAGUGGAAGGGAUGGAACUGGAUGAGCUUUGAGGUCUCUUCCAACCCAAACCAUUCCAUUAUUCUGUGACUGGAUAAAUGUCAUAGUUUAAAUUUACAGAUCUUCUUUUCCUGCUGUUUAGUUGAUCUGGAUUUAUUUUUUGAGGAAAUAAACAAAGCAGUCCCUUGUCUUUGUGUGAGCA
rnacentral:lncRNA from 1 species